GGGAGAUAGACCCUUCCAGGUCACUUGCCCAGUGAGCCACCUCCAACCAGGCCCCACUGCUAACAGCAACUCAGCUAUGAACUUAUCAGUGGAUUAACACAUAGGGAUCGAACUCAGGACAUUGCGCUUACAAGGCAGGCGCCAUAACCAUUGAGCUAAAUCCCCGGCCCAAGACUACUUUUGAAUGCACCAAAAGCUUCUGACUCACCAUGGCAACAUCUUCCUGCUGAAAGAUAAGAAUCUUGCCUCUAAGAAGUAGAAAAACUUGCAAGAGAAACCAACAGUAAGAUUUCUGGCCUGAGGCUCAGCAAACUUUUCUUUUCAUUAGCCCUCUCCUCCUCUGUAUUCAUUCCACAGACACUGAAUCUCCUGUGAGCCAUCUGGGGUCACACUAUGAACAAUACACAGUGAAAUCCCUGCCUUGUGGCCCUUCCAUCCUAUUAGGCAGAGACAGGCAGGAUUCAAAACAGCCUAAAGGUAACCUGUCUACAAUUUAUUUCCUGCACAUCCUCAUGUUUGGGCUAUGGUGAAGUGGAGAGGCCAACAACAGACCGCAGCAAUUUUGCUAGUCUCAGUUCUGCCAUCUACAUAUUGUGGGUUUAAGGCAGACCUUCAUCCAAUAUGAGCCUCAGUUUCCUCAUCUAUAAAAUGGGGAGGGAUUGGAUUAAAUGACUUAUUAAGGGAAAGGGUCCUUUUAGGCUCUUUUAUUUUUCAUGUUUUU
ensembl:lncRNA